GACAGAGGGUGCAAACGUUGUUCGGAAUCACUGGGCGUAAAGCGCACGUAGGCGGAUCCUUAAGUCGGGGGUGAAAUCCUGGAGCUCAACUCCAGAACUGCCUUCGAUACUGAGGAUCUCGAGUCCGGGAGAGGUGAGUGGAACUGCGAGUGUAGAGGUGAAAUUCGUAGAUAUUCGCAAGAACACCAGUGGCGAAGGCGGCUCACUGGCCCGGUACUGACGCUGAGGUGCGAAAGCGUGGGGAGCAAACAGGG
rnacentral:rRNA from 1 species